rnacentral:rRNA from 1 species
UACGUAGGGUGCGAGCGUUAAUCGGAAUUACUGGGCGUAAAGCGUGCGCAGGCGGCUAUGCAAGACAGAUGUGAAAUCCCCGGGCUCAACCUGGGAACUGCAUUUGUGACUGCAUGGCUAGAGUACGGCAGAGGGGGAUGGAAUUCCGCGUGUAGCAGUGAAAUGCGUAGAUAUGCGGAGGAACACCGAUGGCGAAGGCAAUCCCCUGGGCCUGUACUGACGCUCAUGCACGAAAGCGUGGGGAGCAAACAGG